rnacentral:rRNA from 1 species
UAUACCGUGAAACUGCGAAUGGCUCAUUAAAUCAGUUAUCGUUUAUUUGAUAGUACCUUACUACUUGGAUAACCGUGGUAAUUCUAGAGCUAAUACAUGCUGAAAACCUCGACUUCGGGAGGGGUGUAUUUAUUAGAUAAAAAACCAAUGCCCUUCGGGGCUCUUUGGUGAUUCAUGAUAACUUAACGGAUCGCAUGGCCUUGCGCCGGCGACGGUUCAUUCAAAUUUCUGCCCUAUCAACUUUCGAUGGUAAGGUAGUGGCUUACCAUGGUUUCAACGGGUAACGGGGAAUUAGGGUUCGAUUCCGGAGAGGGAGCCUGAGAAACGGCUACCACAUCCAAGGAAGGCAGCAGGCGCGCAAAUUACCCAAUCCCGACACGGGGAGGUAGUGACAAUAAAUACUGAUACAGGGCUCUUUUGGGUCUUGUAAUCGGAAUGAGUACAAUUUAAACCCCUUAACGAGGAACAAUUGGAGGGCAAGUCUGGUGCCAGCAGCCGCGGUAAUUCCAGCUCCAAUAGCGUAUAUUAAAGUUGUUGCAGUUAAAAAGCUCGUAGUUGAACCUUGGGCCUGGCUGGCUGGUCCGCCUCACCGCGUGUACUGGUCCGGCCGGGCCUUUCCUUCUGGAGAGCCGCAUGCCCUUCACUGGAUGUGCUGGGGAACCAGGACUUUUACUUUGAAAAAAUUAGAGUGUUCAAAGCAGGCCUUUGCUCGAAUACGUUAGCAUGGAAUAAUAGAAUAGGACAUGCGAUCCUAUUUUGUUGGUUUCUAGGACCGCUGUAAUGAUUAAUAGGGAUAGUCGGGGGCAUCAGUAUUCAAUUGUCAGAGGUGAAAUUCUUGGAUUUAUUGAAGACUAACUACUGCGAAAGCAUUUGCCAAGGAUGUUUUCAUUAAUCAGUGAACGAAAGUUAGGGGAUCGAAGACGAUCAGAUACCGUCGUAGUCUUAACCGUAAACUAUGCCGACUAGGGAUCGGGCGAUGUUUCUAUCUUGACUCGCUCGGCACCUUACGAGAAAUCAAAGUUUUUGGGUCUGG